rnacentral:rRNA from 1 species
GACAGAGGGUGCAAACGUUGUUCGGAAUUACCUGGGCGUAAAGCGAGUGUAGGCAGGUUUGGUAAGUCGGAUGUGAAAGCCCGGGCUCAACCCGGGAAGUGCACUCGAUACUGCCAAGCUAGAGUGUCGGAGAGGUUGGUGGAAUUCUGCGGUGUAGAGGUAGAAAUUCGUAGAUAUCGAGAGGAACACCGGUGGCGAAGGCGGCAUCCUGGACCGGCAUUGACGCUGAGGCGCGAAAGCGUGGGGAGCAAACGG